UGCCAGACUCCUACGGGAGGCAGCAGUGGGGAAUAUUGCACAAUGGGGGGAACCCUGAUGCAGCGACGCCGCGUGGGUGAAGGAGCACCUCGGUGCGUAAAGCCCUAUCGGCAGGGAAGAAACAGACGGUACCUGACUAAGAAGCCCCGGCUAACUACGUGCCAGCAGCCGCGGUAAUACGUAGGUGGCAAGCGUUGUCCGGAUUUACUGGGUGUAAAGGGCGUGUAGCCGGGCUGACAAGUCAGAUGUGAAAUCCGGGGGCUCAACCCCCGAACUGCAUUUGAAACUGUUGGUCUUGAGUAUCGGAGAGGCAGGCGGAAUUCCUAGUGUAGCGGUGAAAUGCGUAGAUAUCAGGAGGAACACCGGUGGCGAAGGCGGCCUGCUGGACUGCAACUGACGUUGAGGCCCGAAAGCGUGGGGAGCAAACAGGAUUAGAUACCCGUGUAAA
rnacentral:rRNA from 1 species